CCUACGGGAGGCAGCAGUGGGGGAUAUUGCACAAUGGGGGAAACCCUGAUGCAGCGACGCCGCGUGGGUGAAGAAGCGCCUCGGCGCGUAAAGCCCUGUCAGCAGGGAAGAAAAGGAAGGUACCUGAAGAAGAAGCCCCGACUAACGACGUGCCGGCAGCAGCGGUAAUACGUAGGGGGCAGGCGUUAUACGGAGUUACUGGGUGUAAAGGGGGCGCAGACGGCGAUGCAAGCAAGUAGUGAAAGCCCGGGGCUCACCCCCGGGACUGCUCUUGAAACUGCGUGACUAGAGUGCAGGAGGGGCAGGCGGAAUUCCUGGUGUAGCGGUGAAAUGCGUAGAUAUCAGGAGGAACACCGGUGGCGAAGGCGGCCUGCUGGACUGCAACUGACGUUGAGGCCCGAAAGCGUGGGGAGCAAACAGGAUUAGAUACCCCAGUAGUC
rnacentral:rRNA from 1 species